UACGUAGGUGGCAAGCGUUGUCCGGAUUUACUGGGCGUAAAGAGCGCGCAGGCGGUCGUCCAAGUCGCGUGUGAAAGCCCCCCGGCUCAACUGGGGAGGGUCACGCGAUACUGGUCGACUCGAAGGCAGGAGAGGGUAGUGGAAAUUCCCGGUGUAGUGGUGAAAUGCGUAGAUAUCGGGAGAACACCAGUGGCGAAGGCGAGCUACCUGGCCUGUUCUUGACGCUGAGGCGCGAAAGCUAGGGGAGCAAACGGGG
rnacentral:rRNA from 1 species